AUUGAACGCUGGCGGAAUGCUUUACACAUGCAAGUCGAACGAUGAACCCUAGCUUGCUAGGGGGAUUAGUGGCGAACGGGUGAGUAAUAUAUCGGAACGUGCCUUGUAAUGGGGGAUCACUAGUCGAAAGAUUAGCUAAUACCGCAUACGCCCUGAGGGGGAAAGUAGGGGAUCUUCGGACCUUACGUUAUAAGAGCGGCCGAUAUCUGAUUAGCUAGUUGGUGGGGUAAUGGCCUACCAAGGCAUCGAUCAGUAGCUGGUCUGAGAGGACGACCAGCCACACUGGAACUGAGACACGGUCCAGACUCCUACGGGAGGCAGCAGUGGGGAAUUUUGGACAAUGGGCGCAAGCCUGAUCCAGCCAUUCCGCGUGAGUGAAGAAGGCCUUCGGGUUGUAAAGCUCUUUCGCAAGGGAAGAAAACUUACCUUCUAAUAAAGGGUGAGGCUGACGGUACCUUGAUAAGAAGCACCGGCUAACUACGUGCCAGCAGCCGCCGUAACAC
rnacentral:rRNA from 1 species